rnacentral:lncRNA from 1 species
UUAAAACACAACAUUAGCUACACUUUUAAGAAAGGUAGCAACUUUAUUAUGUGUGACACUGUGUCCUUAGUUUCUUCUAAUCUCUAAUUAGUUAUCCAUUAUCUCUUCUUCAAGCAAAGCUGCAGCCAAAGUUUUUGCUUCCUCAACCAAAGUUUCAGCUCCUGUUUUUAUCAUCUUCUCAUCAAACACACAUGGCUUAGUGCAUAGGCACCGUCUGAGGAGUUUGCUACAAUGACCAUCAGUAAAUUUCUCACUGAUACAAGCUUUUCUGCAUGGUGGUUUGGUAAUGCAUAUUCCAGGGAAUGUAUUGCUUUCUGUUUUGCAUUCUCUAGCUUGCACCUCUACAAUCAUUCACAAGUACUUACCAAUGUUAGAACAAAAGAAUAGAUAGAAUUGAAAGAAACCAUUAAAACAUGAAUAUAUUCAAGGUUCUUACAUACAUACAUACAUACUACAUACAUACAUACAUACAUACAUACAUACAUACAUAUGUGUAUAUAUAUAAGGGCAGCCCAGUGCACAAAGGGUCCAGGGAAUCGAGUCGCAUCCCAAAGGGUGUAAUGUAGAUCGACAGCAUACCCUAAAAAAUAUAUUGUCCCUAUACUAUUUGGAAGAACUAAUGCAAACAUAUUUUUUUCAGGAUUUUUCAAACCUUCCAGACGUAUACUAUAGAUUAAUUCGUCAUUUUAACAACAAAUACAUCAAAAAGAUAACCACACUUGAAAAUAUACUUGACAAAUCAUAAGAAGUGUAACUUGAUGUUCAUUAUGAUAGCUAAACCAGUCAUAGCUUUUAUAUUUAUUUUCUUAAAAGCAGAGUUGGGUAAUUAAGUGACUGGAUAGCAAGAAAUAGAAUCAUAUUAUAAAUUAUAUUUAUUAUUUUAUGUGGUUUUGGAGGAAUAAAUAGAGACAAACCAUAGGCAACAAACAGCAUCAUUGCCAAGAUAGCAAAUGCCAUGAAGCACAAGGAGCGAGCCAUAGUCUCUUUGAAUGAUGAAAAAUGAUAGGAAUUUUAAUAAAAAGAAAGAUUGCAAUUCAGAGGUGUGAAAGAACAGUAACUCAAUAGAGGUAUUUAUAGGCGCUGAACUAAGAGUAGAUAAAAUUUAAAGCAAAAAGUAAACAAAUAAAAUGAAAUAAUUAUUGCACUGGAAUUGUUGGUAAUUUGAAGUUUGGAGAUACAUAUUUCUUAUUUUUUUUCUUUUUCUUUUUUGUCUUUAACCAAUGUCCGAUAUUAGGACCUCAACUAGUGUUGAUUCGGCCCGUGUAUAGUAAAAAACAAUAACAUCAAUAAUAAUAACCCAGAAAAUUUUCACUAGUGGGGUCUGGGGAGGGUAGUGUGUAUGUAGACCUUACCCCGACCCUGAAGGAGUAGAGAGGUUGUUUUCGGAAGACCAUCGGCUUAAGAAAAUAAAAAAGACAAAAGGAGAUAAUAUUAGUAUCACCUUAGAAAUCAUAGGAAAAAUAGGAACAACAUGAAAUCCAGAAAAAAGAUGCAAAGCAAAGCAAAAAUUAUAGCUAGUAAAUAGGUCAUGCACUGAAAAGCAAAAAGCGUAAUAGUAAGACACAACGUUGUCACUAUCUGUCUUAGACAAAAAACCUGUCAGCCUAGUCUCACAAAGGUACAAAUUAAGACAAGAAUCAACUACCUUCUAACCUAGAACUCUAAUACCCGUGUAUAGUUAAAAGUACUUCUUAUAACAUGCUCAUGACUUGAAAUCGAGACUUCUAUCUAAGGGUGUAGGAAUCAUAUCGAUUGCACUACCAUUCGUGAUGGUUUAAAAAUAUCCCAAUGUUGUAGCAAAAUUAAAACUUAUUCUAAUGAUAAAUGUUGUUUUAGGCACACUACGACACAAGAGGAGGGUUAACUGGAUAGUUAACACUUAAAAAUUCUUCCAAAGUUUUUUAGAAAUUUGCUUAACCUAUAGUAUCUAGACGAUGGAAUUGGUUCUCAAAUUUGUCCUAGUUACUGCGCAAGUAAUAACAACGCGGAAUUAAGGAAAGAACAACGCACAAACUUUUACGAAAAUACUAUUGUCACUCAAAGGUGUAAAGAUCACGACCUAACCUAAUAGCAUUUAACCCAAACUCCGCUAAAAUAAAGAGCCAUUACUCAUAUUACAACUUUGUAACCUAAGAGAUUAAGUCCAAUCACUUUCCCCAACAAUCACUAGGUUGUUGCCCUUCGAUUUAACUCUAACUUGAAAUAGAUUAUUUGGUAUCCUAAGCUCAAAGAGUCAUAUGGUGCAAAUUAUUCGGUGUACCUUUAUAAAAUCGAGUUUUCAAAUUCCAUGUUUGUCUUGUUGUUUUUUUCUAUCUUUUCCUACAAUUAAACCCGGUGGGUAAUAUAUUCGUUGUAAGAACGUCAAGAUUAAACCCAUCCAAUGUAAAUACUGAAUCUAUCUCUUUAUAAUAAUGCACGGUGCACCCAUCUUCUUAAACUACUGGUUACUCAUCUCUUUCAAUGGCGAAGCCACAUGGUCACAAGGGUGGUUAGUUGACCACCCUUUGUUGAAAAAGUGUACUGUUUAUAUAGAUCAAAUAUUAUAUUUUAGAGGUAUAUAACACAUAUUGAACACCCUUUGUCGGAAAAAAUUCCACUUCUUUCAAAUUUGAAUAUCCUUAAAAAAAUUCCUAGCUUCGGCACUGAUCUCUUCACCAUGAAGCUGAAUCACUUAAUCUACUUGGUUCUUCACAAGUCACACCAAACUUAUGCCAAAAAUUUAAUAGAAGUUAAAGUUGUACAAAUUCAUAUAGUACAAAGAUAAAUUUGAUGUUUUACCAGAACAUAACACUGAGCUCCACUGCUCUCGCAACAGGUGAAGGAAGAGGUUUAAUAUCAACCUUUAUCUUCUUCAUGAAUAUCAAAAUUGUCCAAAUGGCAGAAUCAGAUACUGCAGUUUCAAGUACAGUUUACUUCAUAUGAGUUGAGAACUCAUUCUCACAAUAUAAGAAUGCACAGUUCGGGUCAGAAUUUGAAGUUUAUGAGUUCGAAAUUCUAGCAAUAUAAAAAAACGGAAAAGGCUUAAAACUGCCACUCAACUUUCAGAAAUGGUCUAUCCAUGCUAUCCGUUAAAAAAUGCUCAUUUCAUGCCACUACCGUUACACAUUUGGCCCAUCCAUGCCAUUAUUGACUAACGACUCAAUUUUUAUAUUUAUUUUAAUAUUUAUAACACCCACAUUUUCACGUGUCAUGUCGUUAUUGGUCCGAGUUAACCCAUGCCCCACUUAAUUUUAACCUUGGUUAGGUCCAUCUACCCAAACCCACCCGAUUAAAACAUACCCGAAUCAUUCACCCAACCCAAACUCUUCAUACCAAAUCCCCUUCUCUCCAAUCGUCUUCCCCAAGAUGUAAAUCUUGGCAGUGGUUGUUAUGACGAUGAUGGUGAUGACCACCGUAACAUAUCCGAACACCAUCUCCACUGCCACCGCUUGUCACCGAAAACUUCCACUUUGCAACCUUGUCUUCUUCUUCUUCUUCUUCAAGUAUUUCUUCAUCAUUUUCUUGAAUUGCUUCAAUCACCUCUUCUUCAUCGUCCAGGGGGAAAUCUUCAUUUUCCUCUUAUGUUUCUUCAUCUUCAUCACGAAUGAGAUGUAAUUUCAGUCCUCCAUCUUGGCCAGAAGUAAGGAGAGUUACGAGCCGACCAAUUUUCACCUCUGUCAACUCUAACCUUCUAUCUUUUCUCACCGCACGCAUGAAGAAAUUUGACUUUCCAUCUUGGUUUAAGGACGAUAAUGGCGGCGGAAACUUCUUUUCUUUCUUCUUCGAAUUACAUCUUUGCCAGCACCUUGAACUAAGUGGGGAAGACGACCGGAGAGAAGGGGGUUUGGUAUGAAGAGUUUGGGUUGGGUUAUUGAUUUGGGUAUAUAUUAACCGGGUCGGGUUUGAGUAGGUGGACUUAACCAAGGUUAAAAUUAAGUGGGGCAUGGGUUAAUUCAGACCAAUAACAACAGGACACGUGGAAAUGUGGGUGUUAUAAAUAUUAAAAAAAUAAAAAUUGAGUCGUUAGUCAAUAAUGACAUGGAUGAGCCAAAUGCGUAACGGCAGUGGCGUGAAAUGAGCAUUUGUUUAAUGGAUGACAUGGAUAGACCAUUUCUGAAAGUUGAGUGGCAUUUUUAGGCCUUUUUCGUAUAAAAAAUAAAAAGUUGCGGGUUAAAUAGUAAUAUAAUCAAAUAGUAUUUUCUUUUUAGUAUUUAUGUUAUAUCUCUUCGUUUUAUACACUUUUAAGAAAAAUAUUAAAUAACCCUAAUCAUAAGAGUAUACGUUAGUCAAAAUUUACCUUUUUUUAUACCAUAGAAGGUCAUUUUCAUUACAAAUACACAAAUAAACUUAGUGCAAGAUUGCACAAAGGAUUGAAGUGCCACACUUAUUUAAAGUGUAACAAAAGGCUACUAAAAGCCAAUUAAAACACAGCAUUAGCUACACUUUUAAGAAAGGUAGAAACUUUAUUAUGUGUGACACUGCAUCCUUAAUUUCUUCUAAUCUCUAAUUAGUUAUCCAUUAUCUCUUCUUCAAGCAAAGCUGCAGCCAAAGUUUUUGCUUCCUCAACCAAAGUUUCAGCUCCUGUUUUGAUCAUCUACUCAUCAAACACACAUGGCUUAGUGCAUAGGCACCUUCUGAGGAGUUUGCUACAAUGACCAUCAGUAAAUUUCUCACUGAUACAAGCUUUUCUGCAUGGUGGUUUGGUAAUGCAUAUUACAGGGAAUGUAUUGCUUUCUGCUUUGCAUUCUCU